rnacentral:rRNA from 1 species
UACGAAGGGGGCUAGCGUUGCUCGGAAUUACUGGGCGUAAAGGGCGCGUAGGCGGAUGGCACAGUCAGAUGUGAAAUUCCUGGGCUUAACCUGGGGGCUGCAUUUGAUACGUGUGGUCUGGAGUGAGGAAGAGGGUUGUGGAAUUCCCAGUGUAGAGGUGAAAUUCGUAGAUAUUGGGAAGAACACCGGUGGCGAAGGCGGCGACCUGGUCCUUAACUGACGCUGAGGCGCGAAAGCAUGGGGAGCGAACAGG